UUCGCAAUGCCCGAAAGGGUGACGAAGCGACGCCGCGUGGGUGAGGAAGGCCCUCGGGUUGUAAAGCCCUGUCAGGAGUUAAGAGAUGUAGGCUCGCUAAUAUCGUGUCUAUUUGACAAAGGCUCCAAAGGAAGCCACGGCUAACUCUGUGCCAGCAGCCGCGGUAAUACAGAGGUGGCAAGCGUUGUUCGGAAUUAUUGGGCGUAAAGAGCACGUAGGUGGGUUUGUAAGUCAGAUGUGAAAGCCUUCUGUUCAACGGAAGAAUUGCAUCUGAAACUGCGAGUCUUGAGUGUAGGAGGGGAGAAUGGAACUUCUGGUGGAGCGGUGAAAUGCGUAGAUAUCAGAAGGAACGCCGGCGGCGAAAGCGAUUCUCUGGCCUAUUACUGACACUCAGUGUGCGAAAGCUAGGGGAGCAAACGGGAUUAGAUACCCCGGUAGUCCUAGCCGUAAACGAUGGGCACUAAGUAGAGGGGUUUU
rnacentral:rRNA from 1 species